rnacentral:rRNA from 1 species
AGUGGAUUAGUGGCGAACGGGUGAGUAACACGUGGGCAAUCUGCCCUGCACUUCGGGACAAGCCCUGGAAACGGGGUCUAAUACCGGAUAUGACUCGGGGAGGCAUCUCUUCGGGUGGAAAGCUUCGGCGGUGCAGGAUGAGCCCGCGGCCUAUCAGCUUGUUGGUGGGGUGAUGGCCUACCAAGGCGACGACGGGUAGCCGGCCUGAGAGGGCGACCGGCCACACUGGGACUGAGACACGGCCCAGACUCCUACGGGAGGCAGCAGUGGGGAAUAUUGCACAAUGGGCGGAAGCCUGAUGCAGCGACGCCGCGUGAGGGAUGACGGCCUUCGGGUUGUAAACCUCUUUCAGCAGGGAAGAAGCCUUUAAAGUGACGGUACCUGCAGAAGAAGCACCGGCUAACUACGUGCCAGCAGCCGCGGUAAUACGUAGGGUGCGAGCGUUGUCCGGAAUUAUUGGGCGUAAAGAGCUCGUAGGCGGCUUGUCGCGUCGGAUGUGAAAGCCCGGGGCUUAACCCUGGGUCUGCAUUCGAUACGGGCAGGCUGGAGUUCGGUAGGGGAGAUCGGAAUUCCUGGUGUAGCGGUGAAAUGCGCAGAUAUC